rnacentral:rRNA from 1 species
GACGGAGGGUGCUAGCGUUGUUCGGAAUCACUGGGCGUAAAGGGCGCGUAGGCGGCCUUGCAAGUCGGUUGGUGAAAGCCCGGGGCUCAACCCCGGAGGUGCGGCCGAGACUGCAGGGCUGGAGGCCGGAAGAGGAGGGUGGAAUCCCCAGUGUAGAGGUGAAAUUCGUAGAUAUUGGGUGGAACACCGGUGGCGAAAGCGGCUCUCUGGUCCGGAACUGACGCUGAGGCGCGAAAGCGUGGGGAGCAAACAGG